rnacentral:lncRNA from 1 species
AACUGAGCCCCAUUUUCAUAUAAACUAUUUGAUUGUCCCCCUACCCCCUUCGACUCGUCUCACUUCAUUUCCCUCACCAUCAGAGACAACCUAACCGUAAUCCGCCGCCCCAAAAUUCCUACCAUCUCCGGUGGUGGCGCCACCCCCAAACCGGCCGAAAUCAGCACCAUAGAACCCUCACAACCUAAGCCCUCCCAAUCUCUAAUUGUUUUCCCUCGAAUUCCCCUACGUUUAUUCGAAUCUUAGAUCAAAGUCGAACCCUAAAAAUCCCAAAACCCUCCAAAUCGAGAUUUCAGUAAGGAUUUAGGUCUAGUUUGAUUUUAUUUGUGUAUUCUUGAUAAGAACUUACGAUUAAGGUCAAACUCGGUGUAAAUUUGAAUAUUUGAAGACUCAGUUUCAGUUCUUUACUUGUUCGAUCCGUUUAGGUAUUUUUCCUUUUCCUUUAUUAUCUUUUUUUUAAAAUUUUUUCUUUCAUUUCUUUAACUUCUCCUUCUUUCUCUUUUCCUCUUGAUUCUUUUUUUUUGUUUGUCGAAGUUGUUCAGAGUCAUUUUCUCAUGCAUGUUUCAUAUUAAGUUUAUUUUAAUUAAGCAUAUUUUUGUUUUUUGUGUUAGAUUUUAUUCGAAUUUUAUUUGUUUUUAUUUUCUUUGAGCCCAAGACCUCAUGAGUCUUUAUGACUCUGUAGGUCAUUUAGCCGAUAAUUUUUGAUUGUUGACUUUGGAUUGGGUUCUGAAAUUAGAAGCCCAAGAAAGGGGAUUCAACUCGGAAUUUAAAUACAAUUUGACUUGGAUCAAUUUGACCUACAUCUGUUUGGUUUCAGAAGUAAAAUCAAGGGGUUAAGGGGUAAAUUUGAGAAUUUAGGCUUGGGAAUAUGUUUAUAAUUAAUUCAGGAAGUUUCUAAGAAGGUGUUUUGAGAAGUAAACUGAAAAUGCUGAUUUAAAACUAAGGGUACUUGAGCAAAUAUAAAAAUUUGAAAAUGAUCAAUGUAUAAACACUGAUUUCAUUAUUGCUGCCCUAAGACUUGCCUAUAAAGGCACUCUUUAUUCAUUCAUAAGUCAGAAUUUUGAGAGAUGAAAAAAUACUGAAAAGUAAAAAAUGGUUGGGUCUUUUUCAAGCUCAAAAACAUAAAAAUUUUACUGAAAAUUUGGUUUCUCGAUUCUGGUUUUUGCUUCCUUUUGGCUCAUUAGAAUCUCUGAAAGAUCAAAAUCAAGUAGCUGAGGUUUUUGUUUUGUGUUGUUGGUUAAAAAUGAUUUGAGUUUGGGUUUUCAAAAGGCUGAGUUUGAAUUUGCUAUCGCUGUUACUGUUAUAUUGCUGAUUUCUGCUACUGCUAAUUCCUUCUUGUCUCAGGCUAAAUUUUGGAUUCUAUAUUGCUGUAUUCAGGUACAUGUUUCUGAUUCUAUCUAAUAUGAGGCCUGAUUCAAAGUUGAAAUAUAGAUCUGAAGCUUUGAUCAUAGUGUCAACUUGUAUUGCUCAUAGUUUAGCUUUAUUUUGUUUCAAUUUCUUUGUUCUUUUGGAUGUUGAUGUCACUCUUCUGAGAGCUGAAUUUGGUUUGUAAUUAGAGAAACUCUAUUUUCUAUCGAAUAUCUCAUAGCUAGAUGUUGGCUUUUGGCAGUUGAACUCUUAUUCUUGAAUUUUAUUUUGAACUAUUAGGAAAACUUGAUGAAUAACGUGUUUAGUUGAAUCAGUAGUUAGACUACAUUAAAUCAUGUUGAAUCAUGUAAUGUGGAUUACGUUUGAUCUCUCAUGCUAUGUUAUUCAUUUAAACUAUUGUAACACGUUUGUUGUAUUUGGAUGAUGCUGUGUACAUGUAAUUGGAUAACUGAAUGUUUUCUUAAGUUUAGUGGGUAUAAAAUCAUGUCUAAAGGGAGGAAAAUGGUCCAGGAUACUAUAAGAGUUGAAUUAUGUGCUGAUUUGAGCUUGGUUUACUUAUGAGCAUGUUCAAUGUAUGAAGUAAUAUUAAAAAUGCAAAAUGAUUAGCUAGUUGGUUAGUGUUUCAAUAGUUAAAAAAUUCAGAAGUAAAUAUUAGUUUGAUUUCGUGCUUGUAAAAUCCUAGUUGGUUGGCUUUUAAAUGAAUUUGCACAAGUGUUUGGUUUUGAUGAUUGGGCCCAAUGCUGGCCCAAUUGAUAAAAGUUCAAUUCAGAUGCAUGUUCUAUGUCAUGGAUGUCAUUUCUUCUACCAAGAAUUGAGUUCAUUUUUGGGCCCAAGCUUGAAGGCAUCUGCCAUUGGAUUGUUUGUCUUUCAUUGUUUGGACCUAUUUUAUUUUCGUCAAAUCCAGUCCCCUGUUCAUGUUGUUGUUGACUAGAACAAUUUUUCUUAAGUAAUUGAUUAUUUGAACAAGGUUUUAGUUGUUAAAUAAGUUCGAACAUUUAGCAUAAAAGUAAUUAACAUUCUUUUAGGUUUUCCUUAAUUAACUAGACUUUUAAAAAUGGGUUUAAGAUGAGC